AAGUAAGCGCCAGCCUGUUUGCAGGGAAAGGAAUGGGUAGAGUGCUCAGGAGAAACUAGACCUUUCUGUCCCCUAUGAACUUUGAAUCAGGUUCCAGCCAAAGUUUUUCCCCUCAAACAUUUGUAAUGAAAAUUUUAAAUCUAUAGAAAACUUGAGAGAAUAGUACAGUAUAAACUGCCACAUACCCUCCACGUAGAAUCAGUGGCAGGAAACAUUUCAUGCCGUUUGCUUCCUCUCUCUCCGAAUACCCACGCAUGCUCGCACACGUGUGGCAUUUGCUGAACCUUCCUGAGUCUCGGCUCCUGAAUACUUGUAUAUGUCCUCUAAGAAUAAGGACAUUCUCUUACAGAAUGACAAUACCAUUAACACACCUUAAACAGGAGCAAUCAUGGAGAUUUAAUCAUAUGGGUAACUACUGAACCACUGUGUUGUAUAUUUUAAACCAAUAUUGUAUAUCAAUGAUACUUCAAUAUUUUUUUACAGUGAAAACAAAAAAAGAAGCCUGUAAUGGAGACAGCAUAUUUCACUGCUUGGAGAAAGAGUUUGGUGUCAAAGAUCUGGAUUCAAGUCUCAGCUACUUCUUAGCUGCAUCACCUCAUACAAGUUAUUGAGCUUCCUAUUCCAUCAUCUGUAUCCCCAUCUGUACAAGAGCAAUAAAAACAAUACCUAUCGAGGGGGAAAAAAAUUAGCCAUCAUUUCACAAAAUGACCUACUAUCCAAGACUAUAUUUUAAAAUGAAUAAAAACGAGAGCAACCUUAAAGAACCUGAUGAAACUGUCACUUAGGUUCCCUAUGGCCUUUAUCUGGUAGGUGAGAGGAAAUGAACAUCGCUAGCAGAUGGGAGGCAAUCGCUAAAAAACAAAAGGAAAACUAUUAUGUUUUCCAUCCCAAGGAAUUGAAGCUUCUCAAUAAACCAUUUCCAUUCAGAAUUGGGACUUGGCGACUGUCACAGGUGGAUGACAUUGGACCCUGAUGGCACAGAGUGUACUCAAAUACCAAGAAGAGCCAGAGGGUGAUUCCCAAAGAUGCCUGCAAUCACGUUUCGCACUCCACGUAUUUUUCUAGAACCUGGACACCCGUCCGUCUGAGAAGUGGGCUUUGUCUGCCCUCUCCUGGGAUCCGAGUGAGUUGCUUGUUAACUGUGGCGGAGGUGCUGCUGCCUGUGAGCCAGUUCUACCUCUGUGGUCAAACACUGGCACCGGGUGCCUGAGCUGCCAGUGAGAAGUCCCACUGCCGAGACCACCACGAUGUGAGGAAGCCCAAACUAACCCACAUGGAGAGGCCACGUGAAGAAGCCCUGACACAACAUGGAGACAGAGACAGCUGCGCACCCCGCCCCCAGCUGCUUCACUGCCCCAGCUUCAACCAGCACCUGAGUGAACCGAGACCCAAGCCAGAACUGCCCAUCUGGGCGCUUCCCAAAAUCCUGGCCACAGACAUGGUGAGAUGAUAGGCUCACUGUUGUUGUUUUAAGCCGCUAUGUUUUGGAGUGAUUUGUUACCCGGCAAUAGUAACUAAGAAAGAGGGUGGAGUGCAGAAAAUAAGGAGCUUGCAGAGAAUUACAGCCUCAAGAGCUGAGAAUGGUCCUGUAACAACACCAGCAGCUAACAUUGAAGUGUUUCCCUGUAUGACCCCUAGUCUCACCGGCAAUAUGCAACUCACUGAAUCCUCACGGCAGCCCUAGGACGUGUUCUGUUUGAAUUGGGAUCCAGACAAAGUACAUCCAUUGGCACCCAGAAGCUUGCAGUGGUUGGUCUGACCUGCCCUUCCUUAUCUCCAGCCGCUGGGCUGAAUCAUCGUGUCCAGGCACAGAGCCUGCAGAGCAGUGCACUCCCUC